UCCCUUCCAUUGAGCAACUCGCAACAAUACAUGAUCCCCUAUACUAAAUUCCACGUCUUUUCGAUGAAGAUCCGCACAACUCUUUUGUCGAUCUUGUGCCGUUUGUAUACGUUGUCGAAUCAUUUGGAUCUUUUCGGUAGUCAUACGUACUAACUCGGGUCCCAACAAUGUUGUUUCACCCACCUCAUCCCAACAUAUUGGAGAGCGACACUUUCGUCCAUAUAAUGCUUCAAAUGGAGCCAC
rnacentral:lncRNA from 1 species